UGGGGGAUAACGUAGGGAAACUUACGCUAAUACCGCAUACGACCUACGGGUGAAAGCAGGGGAUCUUCGGACCUUGCGCGAUUGAAUGAGCCGAUGUCGGAUUAGCUAGUUGGCGGGGUAAAGGCCCACCAAGGCGACGAUCCGUAGCUGGUCUGAGAGGAUGAUCAGCCACACUGGAACUGAGACACGGUCCAGACUCCUACGGGAGGCAGCAGUGGGGAAUAUUGGACAAUGGGCGCAAGCCUGAUCCAGCCAUACCGCGUGGGUGAAGAAGGCCUUCGGGUUGUAAAGCCCUUUUGUUGGGAAAGAAAUCCAGCCGGNUAAUACCUGGUUGGGAUGACGGUACCCAAAGAAUAAGCACCGGCUAACUUCGUGCCAGCAGCCGCGGUAAUACGAAGGGUGCAAGCGUUACUCGGAAUUACUGGGCGUAAAGCGUGCGUAGGUGGUUGUUUAAGUCUGUUGUGAAAGCCCUGGGCUCAACCUGGGAACUGCAGUGGAAACUGGACAACUAGAGUGUGGUAGAGGGUAGCGGAAUUCCCGGUGUAGCAGUGAAAUGCGUA
rnacentral:rRNA from 1 species